GACCAGGGUCCCACCUUUCACCUGUUAAUGCCUCCAGACAUCACAAACACUAUUGAUUGUUUAACCAUCGCCGUCUCACAAACCCACCACACCCCCCUUUUCCUUGCCAACAAAAUCUCAUUUUGCUCCAUAGACAGCGAGUGUGCUCAGCUUCAGAAAAUGAAUCAUUAUGGCUCUAAAUUCAUCAUGAUAUCCCACUUCUCCUUUGCCAGUGAUAGGGCUAGGCAGAUUUGAUGAAGGACUGUAUUUGGAGCUAUGGAAAGGAAAACCGAGAGGCAGAGAAGCAGCCCCUAGACUGUUAGCCAAUCCGGGUUGGAGCAGCCGCCCACAGACGUCAUCUUUUGUUUCCUUCAUAUCUUUACACCUUGUGUCCCUGAAAAUGUGGGAAUAUGGCCAGACCUCAUCGUGGGGACUGCUAAGUCAGUUUCACAGAUGACAACAAUGUGGAGAGUUACAGAAUCAACUGAUUUAUCAGGUUUUCUGUUUUCAUAUCUUUUCCUGAGAGUACAAUUAAGGCAUUUAUAUUA